rnacentral:rRNA from 1 species
GACGAACGCUGGCGGCGUGCUUAACACAUGCAAGUCGAACGGAAAGGCCCUGCUUUUGUGGGGUGCUCGAGUGGCGAACGGGUGAGUAACACGUGAGUAACCUGCCCUUGACUUUGGGAUAACUUCAGGAAACUGGGGCUAAUACCGGAUAGGAGCUCCUGCUGCAUGGUGGGGGUUGGAAAGUUUCGGCGGUUGGGGAUGGACUCGCGGCUUAUCAGCUUGUUGGUGGGGUAGUGGCUUACCAAGGCUUUGACGGGUAGCCGGCCUGAGAGGGUGACCGGCCACAUUGGGACUGAGAUACGGCCCAGACUCCUACGGGAGGCAGCAGUGGGGAAUAUUGCACAAUGGGCGGAAGCCUGAUGCAGCAACGCCGCGUGCGGGAUGACGGCCUUCGGGUUGCAAACCGCUUUCGCCUGUGACGAAGCGUGAGUGACGGUAAUGGGGAAAGAAGCACCGGCUAACUACGU